rnacentral:rRNA from 1 species
AUUGAACGCUGGCGGCAUGCCUUACACAUGCAAGUCGAACGGUAACGGGCCUUCGGGUGCCGACGAGUGGCGAACGGGUGAGUAAUGCAUCGGAACGUACCUUUCAGUGGGGGAUAACGUAGCGAAAGUUACGCUAAUACCGCAUAUUCUGUGAGCAGGAAAGCAGGGGAUCGCAAGACCUUGCGCUGAUUGAGCGGCCGAUGUCAGAUUAGCUAGUUGGUGAGGUAAAGGCUCACCAAGGCGACGAUCUGUAGCGGGUCUGAGAGGAUGAUCCGCCACACUGGAACUGAGACACGGUCCAGACUCCUACGGGAGGCAGCAGUGGGGAAUUUUGGACAAUGGGGGCAACCCUGAUCCAGCCAUGCCGCGUGAGUGAAGAAGGCC